CGGAGGGAAACCGAGUCUUAAUUGGGCGUUAAGUUGCAGGGUAUAGACCCGAAACCCGGUGAUCUAGCCAUGGGCAGGUUGAAGGUUGGGUAACACUAACUGGAGGACCGAACCGACUAAUGUUGAAAAAUUAGCGGAUGACCUGUGGCUGGGGGUGAAAGGCCAAUCAAACCGGGAGAUAGCUGGUUCUCCCCGAAAGCUAUUUAGGUAGCGCCUCGUGAAUUCAUCUCCGGGGGUAGAGCACUGUUUCGGCUAGGGGGCCAUCCCGGCUUACCAACCCGAUGCAAACUGCGAAUACCGGAGAAUGUUAUCACGGGAGACACACGGCGGGUGCUAACGUCCGUCGUGAAGAGGGAAACAACCCAGACCGCCAGCUAAGGUCCCAAAGUCAUGGUUAAGUGGGAAACGAUGUGGGAAGGCCCAGACAGCCAGGAUGUUGGCUUAGAAGCAGCCAUCAUUUAAAGAAAGCGUAAUAGCUCACUGGUCGAGUCGGCCUGCGCGGAAGAUGUAACGGGGCUAAACCAUGCACCGAAGCUGCGGCAGCGACGCUUAUGCGUUGUUGGGUAGGGGAGCGUUCUGUAAGCCUGUGAAGGUGGCCUGUGAGGGUUGCUGGAGGUAUCAGAAGUGCGAAUGCUGACAUAAGUAACGAUAAAGCGGGUGAAAAGCCCGCUCGCCGGAAGACCAAGGGUUCCUGUCCAACGUUAAUCGGGGCAGGGUGAGUCGACCCCUAAGGCGAGGCCGAAAGGCGUAGUCGAUGGGAAACGGGUUAAUAUUCCCGUACUUGGUGUUACUGCGAAGGGGGGACGGAGAAGGCUAUGUUGGCCGGGCGACGGUUGUCCCGGUUUAAGCGUGUAGGUGUGUGUUCCAGGUAAAUCCGGUUCACUU
rnacentral:rRNA from 1 species